rnacentral:lncRNA from 1 species
GGUGGGAUAGGGUGGGUUUUGUGUUCCUUCAGAAAAUCACGCACUGAACAAAUCACGAAAAGCAUGCAAUUUUAUACCAAAUAAAAGCGGGAAAACUGCUUACGAAAUUAUGUAGGUAAAUGAAAGACGCUCAAGUCCUUCAAAACUAAAGAAAAGAUAACUCUGGUUAAGCAGACGAUAAUCUUAAUUUAUUAAAUUGAUUUAAU